AGGUCAUGAUGUGGACACUUGCCAAUAAGUCUUUGUAUCUCUCCCACGCCUCAUACACUGAUUCACUCUCAAAUUGGGUGAAGGUAAUAAUAUCAUUCCUUAAUUU